rnacentral:rRNA from 1 species
GAUCCUGCUCAGGAUGAACGCUGGCGGCGUGCUUAACACAUGCAAGUCGAGCGAAGCACUUAGGAAAGAUUCUUCGGAUGAUUUCCUAUUUGACUGAGCGGCGGACGGGUGAGUAACGCGUGGGUAACCUGCCUCAUACAGGGGGAUAACAGUUAGAAAUGACUGCUAAUACCGCAUAAGACCACAGCACCGCAUGGUGCAGGGGUAAAAACUCCGGUGGUAUGAGAUGGACCCGCGU